rnacentral:rRNA from 1 species
UUAGUGGCGAACGGGUGAGUAACGCGUGGGCAACCUGCCCUCUAGAUGGGGACAACAUCCCGAAAGGGGUGCUAAUACCGAAUGUGACAGCAAUCUCGCAUGAGGAUGCUGUGAAAGAUGGCCUCUAUUUAUAAGCUAUCGCUAGAGGAUGGGCCUCGCGUCUGAUUAGCUAGUUGGUGGGGUAACGGCCCACCAAGGCGACGAUCAGUAGCCGGACUGAGAGGUUGAACGGCCACAUUGGGACUGAGAUACGGCCCAGACUCC